rnacentral:rRNA from 1 species
CAGUAGCCACGGGAAUACGUAGGGUGCGAUCGUUGUCCGGAAUUACUGGGCGUAAAGGGCUCGUAGGUGGUUUGUCGCGUCGUCUGUGAAAUUCUGGGGCUUAACUCCGGGCGUGCAGGCGAUACGGGCAUAACUUGAGUGCUGUAGGGGUAACUGGAAUUCCUGGUGUAGCGGUGAAAUGCGCAGAUAUCAGGAGGAACACCGAUGGCGAAGGCAGGUUACUGGGCAGUUACUGACGCUGAGGAGCGAAAGCAUGGGUAGCGAACAGGAUUAGAUACCCCUGUAGUCCCUGUCUCUUAUA